AGAGUUUGAUCCUGGCUCAGAGCGAACGCUGGCGGCAGGCCUAACACAUGCAAGUCGAACGGACCCUUCGGGGUUAGUGGCGGACGGGUGAGUAACACGUGGGAACGUGCCUUUAGGUUCGGAAUAGCUCCUGGAAACGGGUGGUAAUGCCGAAUGUGCCCUUCGGGGGAAAGAUUUAUCGCCUUUAGAGCGGCCCGCGUCUGAUUAGCUUGUUGGUGAGGUAAUGGCUCACCAAGGCUACGAUCAGUAGCUGGUCUGAGAGGAUGACCAGCCACAUUGGGACUGAGACACGGCCCAAACUCCUACGGGAGGCAGCUAGUGGGGAAUCUUGCGCAAUGGGCGAAAGCCUGACGCAGCCUUGCCGCGUGUAUGAUGAAGGUCUUAGGAUUGUAAAUCUUUCACCGGUGAAGAUAAUGACUGAGCCGGAGAGAG
rnacentral:rRNA from 1 species